rnacentral:rRNA from 1 species
CCCUUAGAUGUUCUGGGCCGCACGCGCGCUACACUGAUGCAUUCAACGAGUUUUUCCUGGUCCGAGAGGAAUGGGUAACCUUUUGAAAGUGCAUCGUGCUAGGGAUAGACUAUUGCAAUUAUUGGUCUUCAACGAGGAAUUCCUAGUAGACGUAGUUCAUCAGACUGCAUCGAUUACGUCCCUGCCCUUUGUACACACCGCCCGUCGCUCCUACCGAUUGAAUGAUCCGAUGAAUAUCAUGGAUUGAGGAUGCAAGUAGGUUCGCCUAUCUUCAUCUUCGAGAAGUGAAGUAAAUCUUAUCAUUUAGAGGAAGGAGAAGUCGUAACA